rnacentral:rRNA from 1 species
UAUUAUUAGAAGGAAAAAAAGAGAGGUCAAAGUAGUAACMGGUAAAUUUUGAAACUUAAAGAAUUUGGCGGUGUUUUAGUCCUUUCAGAGGAAUCUGUUCAAUAAUCGAUGAUACMCGAAUAGAGAAACUUAGUUUAGUAAUCAGCUUGUAUACCGUCGUCGUAAAGAUUAUUUUUGAAGAAUUGAAAAAUUUCUGGAAAAAUAAGUAUUUUGAAUGUCAGAUCAAGGUGCAGCUUAUAAUUAAGAGGAAAUGGAUUACAAUAUAAGAAUAUAUGAUGAAUUUAUUAUUAAAAAAAAUAAAUGAAGGUGGAUUUGAUAGUAAAUUGACUUAUUUAUUGGUUGAUUAGGGCUCUAAAACAUGCACACAUCGCCCGUCGCUCUCGUAAAAUUAUGAG